UAGAAUACAUGGGGGUCAUGGUGCCUUAACCCCAUAUUACAAGAAGAAUCAAAAUAACCACCCGAGAUAAUAUCAGGUGUCUCACCUAAGAAUAUGCAUUCUAACAUGCACCUUUUGGCGAAGAGUGCUCUACAGAAUAUUCCAUUUGCUUUAUAAUUGUGGUGACAAACGAGAAAUACAAUGCUCACGCUGAGCCAUGAGUUACUAAUACUAUCAGCUUUCCUAGUAUGCUGCCACCGGAAAAAUAACCCAAUGACACUAAGUUUCAUUUUACCAUUAGGAGGUUGCGACUAUUUGACAAAGCUAGGAACUCGCGUCCUACCUAGAGCAGAGAUGGCACACAAAGUGUGUAGGACGGGACAAAGGCCACAUCUCUAGACUAAAAAGUGGUCGGGACUUAUUGAAAGUGUAAAGUAAAUUACAACUACAAAAACAAAAUAGUUGAAAACUAAAAGCAACACAGUCCAGGUUGGGCCCAACAUAAGGACCCAAGCCCAAGAUUCGUCCAAGAAUAUGGGAAAGGCCACCACCAGGCCCAGAAAAGCUCCUGUCGCAUCCCCACCGUCGCACCACCACCCCCAUCCGCUCAUCUAGCCUUCAACGUUGUCGCAGCCCCAUUGUUGAUGCCUUGCCGCUCGCUGGACCUGAGAUACCAGAUCUGGUAGGGGUUUGCCACCAAGGAUCGACACAGAUCGGAUCGAUCUCCCCAUGGCAGAACGAUCUCUGAUCCCAUCUUCUCUUCACCACGCGGCUUGCUAUUCCAUUGAGCCUUAGCGCUACGUGGCGGCGAACGCCGCUUGCACCCUCCUCUUAAUUGCGAUAACCACCAUCGAUCCUGACCUCACUUCUGGCCAUCAGAACCUCAUUUCCCCAUUUUUAACCCGGAUUCCAGACCCAACAUCUCACCACCAACCCACCAAGCAGCCAAGAGAGGCGCUUAAACAACAGGUAUCAUUCGACGACCAAGUCGCUAGGACGUGCUGCCGGACGGAGAAGAAAACUAGCGAACAGGGUCCAGGCGCGUUCUAGGUUUUUAGGUGUUAAAACUCUAUUACAACAAUGUUGCUGCUUCUGUAUUUUUUCUUCAUGCCUAAUUCUAUAUAUACUAAAACAAGGUUUUUGGUAUCUUAGGAAGAGUACCUCCCUUAGUAACAAUUUACUGACUAUUUUGCCCUUCCAUUUUCUCUAUUUUUACAUUGUUACCCUACAGGUGAUUGCAGCCUGCACUGCUGCGUGCUUGGUUUGCUUCUGCGUGUUCGGUCUGCAGAAAGACAACUGGUUCUUUGAUCUGCAGGAAUAGAAAGAGUGAGAGAGGGUGGGAAAGGUUAAGCACGACGCUCUCUGUUCUUCUUUGCUUUAUAUGAGAAGAGAGAGAGAGAAAGAGGGAGAGCGAAAGGAAACGGCCUCGAUCGGUAUCUGCUUCUAGGCUAGCAGGUCUUCGUCGGAGCGAGGCAGAUUGCAGCCUUCUUGGAUGUGAUGAGCCCAUCUUUUUCAUUGUUGUUAGAGGUGAUGGAGGCUUUGCUGAGCAUGUUAUUGAUAAUUGUCCACCUCCACUACCAACUAUUUGAAAGAGGGGAAUGCACCUGGUUAAGUUGGAAUUACGUCUUCUGGAUUUUGGUGUAUGUUAAUGAAUUAGGCGAGUGUCUUCUGGGUUCAUCUUAUCACGAGGAUAUGUAUCCUUGUACAGAUUCCUACCAACUCAACAAAACCUUUAGGAGUAAUGGUCUUGAAGUCUCGAGGAGUGUUCUCUGAAGCACGUUGGUACUGGAUUGGGGUAGCAGCUUUAUUUGGAUUUAUUCUUUCAUUCAACUUCCUUUUUAUU